CCCUUAGAUGUUCUGGGCCGCACGCGCGCUACACUGAUGUAUUCAACGAGUCUAUAGCCUUGGCCGACAGGCCCGGGCAAUCUUUUAAACCUGCAUCGUGAUAGGGAUAGAUUAUUGCAAUUAUUAAUCUUGAACGAGGAAUUCCUAGUAAACGCAAAUCAUCAAUUUGCAUUGAUUACGUCCCUGCCCUUUGUACACACCGCCCGUCGCACCUACCGAUUGAAUGGUCCGGUGAAGCCUCGGGAUUGUGGCCAGUUCACUUUAUUGGGAGUUGGCUGUGAGAACUUGUCUAAACCUUAUCAUUUAGAGGAAGGUGAAGUCGUAACA
rnacentral:rRNA from 1 species